AUUGAACGCUGGCGGCAUGCUUUACACAUGCAAGUCGAACGGCAGCGCGGGCUUCGGCCUGGCGGCGAGUGGCGAACGGGUGAGUAAUGCAUCGGAACGUGCCCAGUAGUGGGGGAUAGCCCGGCGAAAGCCGGAUUAAUACGCAUACGGCCCGAGGGGGAAAGGCGGGGGCCCGAAAGCCCCGCCCCUUUUGAGCCGCCGAUGUCGGAUUAGCUAGGUGGUGGGGUAAAGGCUUACCAAGGCGACGAUCCGUAGCUGGUCUGAGAGGACGACCAGCCACACUGGGACUGAGACACGGCCCAGACUCCUACGGGAGGCAGCAGUGGGGAAUUUUGGACAAUGGGGGCAACCCUGAUCCAGCCAUGCCGCGUGCGGGAAGAAGGCCUUCGGGUUGUAAACCGCUUUUGUUCGGGAAGAAAUCCUCUGGGCUAAUACCCCGGGGGGAUGACGGUACCGGAAGAAUAAGCACCGGCUAACUACGUG
rnacentral:rRNA from 1 species